CUUCUAGUGGUGGAUCACUCGGCCUC
rnacentral:rRNA from 1 species